ACAUUGGGAGAGCCAAAGGCUGAGAACCACUGGAGUAAAUGACACUGGGGGCAAAGGCAAAAAAUCCUUUUUGAAAAAUGGCCCCAAAACAAAGGUGUUGUCAAGAACAAAAGAAAAACCAAAGUACGGAGGCACCUUCAAAGUAAUAAAAAGGGGGAAAGCUGUGAGGCCUUGAUGGAAAAGUCAAGAGAAGGAUGGGUAAGUACCGUUACUCAACUGCUAGAAUGUGCAACUAUGGAAACCUAUACACAGGU
rnacentral:lncRNA from 1 species